GCCGGGAUGGCGGAAUUGGCAGACGCGCUGGACUUAGGAUCCAGUGCCGUAAAAGGCGUGCAGGUUCAAGUCCUGUUCCCGGCACCA
rnacentral:tRNA from 1 species